CUGUCACUUUUCUGCUGGUAGGCCGAACCAUCUCCUCUCUCUCUUUGAUUUUCACACUUCACUUCAUUACCAAAUUGGACACUUUGCUUCAUACAAUGAAAAUAAGGGAUCUUUUAUCUCUCAUCACUCCCACAAACCCAUGGCCCCUUUCAUUAUUCUUUUUGUGGUGAAAGCUUUUGGGUUAAAGAUUUUGUCUUUGUGACAACAGAACCAAAUCUAGGUCAGUGCCUUUUCACUUUGGAUGAUGCGUUCUUCCUUGCUGCCCAUAAGGGAAAGAGGUUCCUUGAUUGCGUGUGGGUGAGGCUACUGCCAAUGGGGCCAAAAGACCACAUGCAAAAGAGGUCCUACUUGAUGCAUUCUUCCUGCUGCCCAUAAGGGGGAGACAAAAUCUUGAAGGUAUGGGUGAGGCUACUGUCCAUGGGGCCAAAAGACUGAAUACCAAAGAGGACAAUAUCAUGCCAAUUGUAAAUGGGUGGAUCCCCUCGACUGGUCUAUGCGGUAGUAUGUUAUCUUUGUGAUAAAUUACCUUAUAUUAGAUUUUAUGGCUUUGGAAUUAUAUUGUUAGUGCUCACAGAUUAUAUUAUAUAGUUUCAAGGUAUUAUUUUGAGGACUUUGAGAAUAUUGUGGAUAUUUGGUUAUCGAAAUAUUUUAAGAAACUACUUGGAAGUGAA